UGCAUGUAAAUCUAUUUUCAGUAGUCUCAAUUGCAUGUUAUAAUGGUGACUGUUAGCAAUUUUUAAUUUUAAUGUAAAACCUGGUAUGUUAUUUUAAUUAUGUACUAGGUGCAGAUAAGAUAUAGUUUUUCCUUACGUGGGAUUACACAAUAUUGUAUAGAUGUGAAUUACUCAACCUACAAAUGAAAUUCAAUUCCAGUGAAAACAUCAAUAAGGGUUUUUUUUUCCCAGAACAUAAUACAAGACUACUAAAGUCUUUAUGAAAAAUUAAUGUG
rnacentral:lncRNA from 1 species